rnacentral:tRNA from 1 species
UGGCUUAGAGGGUAAAGUGUCUGCCUGCAAUGCAGGAGACCCAGGUUUGAUCCCUAG